GCCCAGUGAUGAGACCAAGGCGAAUGUGAGCUCACUGAAUGAGAGUUGGGUUUUUCUUCUUGCCUUGACUGGCAGGUAAUCUUGGCAGUGCAGGGGAGGAUUCCUGCUCUGCUGUAAGGGCCUGCCUACAGUGACUUGGCUCUGCUCAAAUUAUCCCUGGAAAGUUACAGUGGAGUAACAAUGUGAAUGAAGCCGACAGCGUUCGUGAGCUUGUGUGUGAGAGGCAAGGCGUUAACCCAGCUCUCACUUCUGUUCAGUCAGUCAUGAGCUGUUUCUUUGGUAAUCUGAGGGCC